rnacentral:rRNA from 1 species
GAUCGGUAGCCGGACUGAGAGGUUGAACGGCCACAUUGGGACUGAGACACGGCCCAGACUCCUACGGGAGGCAGCAGUGGGGAAUAUUGCACAAUGGGGGAAACCCUGAUGCAGCGACGCCGCGUGGAGGAAGAAGGUCUUCGGAUUGUAAACUCCUGUUGUUGAGGAAGAUAAUGACGGUACUCAACAAGGAAGUGACGGCUAACUACGUGCCAGCAGCCGCGGUAAAACGUAGGUCACAAGCGUUGUCCGGAAUUACUGGGUGUAAAGGGAGCGCAGGCGGGAAGACAAGUUGGAAGUGAAAUCCAUGGGCUCAACCCAUGAACUGCUUUCAAAACUGUUUUUCUUGAGUAGUGCAGAGGUAGGCGGAAUUCCCGGUGUAGCGGUGGAAUGCGUAGAUAUCGGGAGGAACACCAGUGGCGAAGGCGGCCUACUGGGCACCAACUGACGCUGAGGCUCGAAAGUGUGGGUAGCAAACAGGAUUAGACACCCUGGUAGUCCACACCGUAAACGAUGAUUACUAGGUGUUGGAGGAUUGACCCCUUCAGUGCCGCAG